rnacentral:rRNA from 1 species
AUUGAACGCUGGCGGCAGGCCUAACACAUGCAAGUCGAGCGGGGUUUUCGGACCUAGCGGCGGACGGGUGAGUAAUGCGUAGGAAGCUACCCGAUAGAGGGGGAUACCAGUUGGAAACGACUGUUAAUACCGCAUAAUGUCUACGGACCAAAGUGUGGGACCUUCGGGCCACAUGCUAUCGGAUGCGCCUACGUGGGAUUAGCUAGUUGGUGAGGUAAUGGCUCAACAAGGCGGCGAUCCCUAGCUGGUUUGAGAGGAUGAUCAGCCACACUGGAACUGAGACACGGUCCAGACUCCUACGGGAGGCAGCAGUGGGGAAUAUUGGACAAUGGGCGCAAGCCUGAUCCAGCCAUGCCGCGUGUGUGAAGAAGGCCUUCGGGUUGUAAAGCACUUUCAGUAGGGAGGAAGCGUUGUGUGUUAAUAGUACACAGCGUUGACGUUACCUACAGAAGAAGCACCGGCUAACUCUGUGCCAGCCGCCGCCGUAAGAC